rnacentral:rRNA from 1 species
CCGCGGUAGGCGGGUUUGGACUAGGUCGACGGCGUGAAAGUUCCUUGGGCUCAACCCGGGGGCUGGCGACGUUGAUACAUCCAGACUCGAGUGGGGAAGAGGGUCGUGGAAUUCCCAGUGUAGAGGUGAAAUUCGUAGAUAUCGGGAAGAACACCGGUGGCGAAGGCGGCGACCUGGUCCUUUACUGACGCUGAGGCGCGAAAGCGUGGGGAGCAAACAGGAUUAGAUACCCUGGUAGUCCACGCUGUAAACGAUGUGUGCUGGAUGUUGGGCGACCUAGUCGCUCAGUGUCGUAGCUAACGCGGUAAGCACACCGCCUGGGGAGUACGGCCGCAAGGUUGAA